CCUACGGGAGGCAGCAGUAGGGAAUCUUCCACAAUGGGGGAAACCCUGAUGCAGCAACGCCGCGUGAGUGAAGAAGUGUUUCGGUACGUAAAGCUCUGUCAGCAGGGAAGAAAGUGACGGGAACUGACUAAGAAGCCCCGGCUGACUACGUGCCAGCAACCGCGGUAAUACGUAGGGGGCAAGCGUUAUCCGGAUUUACUGGGUGAAAAGGGAGCGGAGACGGCUGCGCAAGUCUGAAGUGAAAUCCCAUGGCUUAACCAUGGAACUGCUUUGGAAACUGUGCAGCUGGAGUGCAGGAGAGGUGAGCGGAACUCCUAGUGUAGCGGUGGAAUGCGUAGAUAUUAGGAGGAACACCAGUGGCGAAGGCGGCUCACUGGACUGUAACUGACGUUGAGGCUCGAAAGCGUGGGGAGCAAACAGGAUUAGAUACCCCAGUAGUC
rnacentral:rRNA from 1 species